rnacentral:tRNA from 1 species
GCAUGUGGCUCUGUUGGAAGGGUGCUUGAAUUAGCAUCAUGAGGUUCUGGGUUCAACCCCCAGCUUUGCA